rnacentral:rRNA from 1 species
GGGGUGAGGACAGUGUCUGGUGGGUAGUUUGACUGGGGCGGUCUCCUCCCAAAGAGUAACGGAGGAGCACGAAGGUUAGCUAAUCACGGUCGGACAUCGUGAGGUUAGUGCAAAGGCAUAAGCUAGCUUGACUGCGAGAGUGACGGCUCGAGCAGGUACGAAAGUAGGUCUUAGUGAUCCGGUGGUUCUGAAUGGAAGGGCCAUCGCUCAACGGAUAAAAGGUACUCCGGGGAUAACAGGCUGAUACCGCCCAAGAGUUCAUAUCGACGGCGGUGUUUGGCACCUCGAUGUCGGCUCAUCACAUCCUGGGGCUGAAGUAGGUCCCAAGGGUAUGGCUGUUCGCCAUUUAAAGUGGUACGCGAGCUGGGUUUAGAACGUCGUGAGACAGUUCGGUCCCUAUCUGCCGUGGGCGUUGGAAGAUUGAGAGGGGUUGCUCCUAGUACGAGAGGACCGGAGUGAACGCACCACUGGUGUUCGGGUUGUCAUGCCAAUGGCAUUGCCCGGUAGCUAAGUGCGGAAAAGAUAAGCGCUGAAAGCAUCUAAGCGCGAAACUUGCCUCAAGAUGAGUCUUCCCUGGG